CCCCCCUCGACCCCCCCCUCGCGGGCGCCAGGCCAGCUCCCGCCGGGCGACUGUCAAUGAGCCACCCCCGUUUUGAGUAGAGGGAACCAGGGAGCCCUGCCCUCUGGGAGCCUCUGUGGACGCCAACUCAGACCAGACUCCCUGAAGACCCGCAGGAGCCUCGCAGGCAUGCCAACCAAGGAACCUAGGAAUCUGGAGGCCAGGAAGUUAGCAAGGAGGAGGAUGCCACUCAAACACACUCGUUCCUCCAGGGCCCGGGCAAGGGGCCAGGGCCAAGGGGAUCUGCUGCUUCCUGUGAAAAACUAGCUGGCCUGGUCGGUGCCUGGGACCCCGUGUUCGAGAUCACUGCUGCAAAGAAAGAAAAGAAAAGGAAGGCAGUCCCACUCCCCCAGGGCUGGUGGGCUCUGUGAAUCCAGCCUCAGCCUUCGUUCAGGACAGCCCAGAAUGGCUUUUCUAGCCCCACCCCCACCCCCCACCUGUCCAACCUUUUUUGCUCACAGGUCACAGUCAAGCUUAUUAAACUUGGAUGACAGUAAACCAAUGACUAACUGGAUAAUUAAAGCCACAAGUCAGGAGGACUGGGUGGAUCCCUUCUCUAAAAUCUCCAGUGUCAUGUUCCGCAGGCAAACACCACUUACCCAUUGCUUCAUGCCCCCACCCCACCGUCCCUGUCCGGCCCCAAGGAAGGAGGAAAUCUAACCACACUCCCCCACACUGUUGAGUGAACGGGAACAUGACCAAAGAUUUCCAACUAAAACCAAAGUUACUCAGCAGAGCUUCCUGCUGGGUGGCUGGCGGUGACGUACUGGGGGACAGAAGGUACCUCUUUGGGCUCUUUCUCUUCUACGCAACUUCUCUGCUUCAGUCACUUGCAAGCCUCCCCACUUCCCUAGGAGAGGGGAGGAGAACUUCACAGCAGACAAGCCCCCACUGAGAGGACCCUGGGUUUGCUUCAAAGACAGGCCUUCUCCAAAUCUGCAGUUCCAAGCAAUUGCCUCUCCCCCACUACUGAAACGUGAAGCCCUGCUGAAGUUCAGUGUUCCCCAAAGCAUUUCUGUGCUUCCCCCUCUAACCUAGGGCCCUCCAGACCUCCACAGUAAUACCUCUGCCUGACAGGGACUUAGCUUCUCUAGUGCCUCUGCCCUUCCUCCCACCCGCAGCUCGGACUGUCCCUGCUCCCUCCUGCCUCCCCACCACUGUAUCCGGGCCCCCCCCCCCCCC